GCAGUUAGUUAGCAAAUAUCGGAACAAUAUAGUAUCUUAGACCAUUAGCAAUCUUAGUGCCCUUUAGAAACCUGAAGACAAGUCAGGGAUCCUGUACGUUCAGAUGUAAAUAAAUGUUGAGAAAAGGGGAAAAACAAGUGCAGUUUAUUAAGUGAAUGGUGAGCCAAUUAAGUGAGCGGGUUAACCAUUCUGGUCCUUCGAGAAGGUGAUAGCUAGAAACCAGGUCAGAGUGCAUUUGGAGGUACGCGUGUACACCGUGCUCUAACAUUGCACAGAACACGUAAGGGAAGAACCUCAACGCCUCGAGCGCUCACACAAAACGGCUUGGAACGACUGACCGUCUAAAAACAAAAUUGCACGCGGCGUGCUCCUAUGUUGUGAAAAACAUACGCCUUCGAGAAGCGUCAUAACGACGAUGAAUAGUUGACGAUUACUUCGUUCGACGUUCGUGGUAUUUUGCCGAAUAACCUCCAAGGAGUCGUGCUUUUUGUCUCGAAUGGAGUGGACACAUUCACGGAUCAUCAUACAAUGAAAAGUGAAACGACAAGGAAGAAGAACAAAUAAGUUAUGUAUACCCUGGACACGCAGCGAGC